CCUCUUUAGUAUCAGCAGUGGCUGUGCAGAACAUUGCCAAGCCCUUAGCAACCUAUUCAGCAGCUCUGUGGGGAUGGCUGGGGAGCCCCAGGUUUGCAAAUGCAACGGCGAGUCAGCCUGGAAAGUCGGCACCACGGUGCCCUCUCCCUGCCAGGCUCCUUUCAAGAAAUUCCCAGCUACCCUGCUGUUUAUUAAACAGCUCAGUAAAGAAAGCACAGGGGGCAAAACAGCCGUCCUACAUGAGCAGAAGGCAUUCACAAGUUGCCAGAGUGAUUUUGUCUGAGUGUUCGGCCUGGAGGUGGCUGAAAGAGGAAUAAUGAAACAGAAUGGGCGGUCCGAGCGGACAUGAAACAGCGAUUACACGCCAAUAGAAUACUGCAUGACUUUCACGACUCAGUUGGAAAAAGUGACACAGUUUUCACCUUGUUCACUGGGAUACCUGCAACAGGACCCCGAGCCGGCCAUCUUGUGACGAAGUCCAGACCACGUGGAGAUGGCGCAUGGUCUCACUCUGUUGACCAGGGUGAGGAGUGUAGUGGCAUGAUCAUAGUUCACUGCAACCUCUGCCUCCCUCCCAGACUCAAGCAAUCCUCUGGCCUCAGCCUCACCAAGUAGCUAGGACUACAGAUUCAUGACUUCAAUUGGGAGAUGAGUUUCAAGCCACCUUUCAAGGAAUCCUGGGUAGAAUGAAAUCUGUUCCAUGGAAUCUUAAGAAGAAGAAGAAAAAAAACCAAGAUCCCUGUGGGCAAAGUCAUUUGCUGUCAUGCUUGGAAGGAGUAGAACCAAGUGUUUAUGAGCAUGGACUUUGGAGUCAGGAUACUCUCCUGAUAUACCACGAUGCAGAAUGUCAAGUAGGAAAAGAAGCUGUUGCAUUGGGCAAUUAAGAAGUCAUUGGUGAGAGAUGUUUCAGAUGGGGGAUGCAUUACAGCCCUGUGUCUGCUCCGGACGGGAGCUGAGCUGAUCUGCUAGACUUCAUGGACUUGAACCUGGACUGCUUUGGAGUUCAUUCAUGUUCUACCCACACUUGGAUAACAGCUCAGAAUAAGCACAGAAGCUUUCCAUUUUUUUGUUUUGAAUAAAUAUGGGAAAGUAUAAAGGGUAAUGGGAAAUAAAAUAAAAAUAUGGGAAAGUAUAAAGGAUAAUGUAACAAAAACCCAUAUUCCUAGAAAUGGUAACACCUAGAAAUAUUAACUUUUCAAAUUUUGUCCUAUUUGCUUGUGGUAUUUUAAUUUGAGAAAGUAUAAAGGAUGAUGUAACAAAAACCUAUAUUCCUAGAAAUGUUAACACCUAGAAAUAUUAACUUUUCAAAUUUUGUCAUAUGUGCUUGAAGUAUUUUUUUAAGGCAAUAAAGCAUUAGAGUUAAAACUAAAAUCCUCUUUAGCCUCCAACCCUAGUGUUCCCAGUCCACACCCCAACGGCCACUAUCAUCAUAGGAUGGUGUAUAGCUAUGCGGUCCGUUCAUUUCUUUUAUUUCUUUCUACUGAUAUGAAAUUUAUUUAUUGCAUUUCUAGUCUAUUAGUGUUAAUAAAGUUUUAAUGUGUAUACUUAUAUAUUUUUUCAAAACUUAAAAUUCACCAAUGUCUAUAUUCUCUGUAACAUGGCAGUAUAGUUACAUUCUGUGCUAUUUUCAAACACUCUCCUUAUCUGAACACCAUGUUAACACCUACGUCUCAGUUCAAGCUUAUUUUAAUCACAACAUUUUUUCUCUUUCUUCUUUUCUUUUUUGUCUUCCUCUUUCUGUUACUGCUUUAGGAUUUAUUAAUUAUGAUAGGAUUGCAAGGACAUUUGGGCUUAUCUUGGAAUACUUCCCGACUCACAACUCUGUUGGAAGAAAUACUAGAAUCCUGUUUCUGCCCCAUUUGUGUCUUGAUCCUUGAAACUUAUGCCCUCUGUUCCUCAAGGACCUAAAACAGAAACACCACUCGACCCAGCAAUCCCAUUACUGGGUAUAUACCAAAAGGAGUAGAAAUUGUUCUAUCAUAAAGACACAUGCACGCAUAUGUUCAUUGCAGCACUAUUUACAACAGCAAAGACAUGGAAUCGACCUAAAUGCCCAUCAGUGGUAGACUGGAUAAAGAAAAUGUUGUACAUAUACAACAUGGAAUACUACGCAGCCAUGAAAAAUGACAAGGUUAUGCCCUUUGCAGGAACAUGGGUGGAGCUGGAGGCAUUAUCCUUAGCAAACUAACAGAGGAAUAGAAAACUAAAUACUGCAUGUUCUCACUUACAAAUGCAAGCAAAAUGAUGAGAACACAUGGACACAAAGAGGGAAACAACACACACUGGGGUUUUUUCAGAGGGUGAAGUGUAGGAGGGAGAGGAUGGGGAAAAAUAAUAACCAAUGAGUACAAGGCUUAAUACCUGGGUGAUGAAAUAAUCUGUACGACAAACCCCUGUGACACAAGCUUACCUAUAUAACAGACCUGCACAUG